GGUUAAGCGACUAAGCGUACACGGUGGAUGCCCUGGCAGUCAGAGGCGAUGAAGGACGUGCUAAUCUGCGAUAAGCGUCGGUAAGGUGAUAUGAACCGUUAUAACCGGCGAUUUCCGAAUGGGGAAACCCAGUGUGUUUCGACACACUAUCAUUAACUGAAUCCAUAGGUUAAUGAGGCGAACCGGGGGAACUGAAACAUCUAAGUACCCCGAGGAAAAGAAAUCAACCGAGAUUCCCCCAGUAGCGGCGAGCGAACGGGGAGCAGCCCAGAGCCUGAAUCAGUGUGUGUGUUAGUGGAAGCGUCUGGAAAGGCGCGCGAUACAGGGUGACAGCCCCGUACACAAAAAUGCACAUGCUGUGAGCUCGAUGAGUAGGGCGGGACACGUGGUAUCCUGUCUGAAUAUGGGGGGACCAUCCUCCAAGGCUAAAUACUCCUGACUGACCGAUAGUGAACCAGUACCGUGAGGGAAAGGCGAAAAGAACCCCGGCGAGGGGAGUGAAAAAGAACCUGAAACCGUGUACGUACAAGCAGUGGGAGCACGCUUCGGCGUGUGACUGCGUACCUUUUGUAUAAUGGGUCAGCGACUUAUAUUCUGUAGCAAGGUUAACCGAAUAGGGGAGCCGAAGGGAAACCGAGUCUUAACUGGGCGUUAAGUUGCAGGGUAUAGACCCGAAACCCGGUGAUCUAGCCAUGGGCAGGUUGAAGGUUGGGUAACACUAACUGGAGGACCGAACCGACUAAUGUUGAAAAAUUAGCGGAUGACUUGUGGCUGGGGGUGAAAGGCCAAUCAAACCGGGAGAUAGCUGGUUCUCCCCGAAAGCUAUUUAGGUAGCGCCUCGUGAAUUCAUCUCCGGGGGUAGAGCACUGUUUCGGCAAGGGGGUCAUCCCGACUUACCAACCCGAUGCAAACUGCGAAUACCGGAGAAUGUUAUCACGGGAGACACACGGCGGGUGCUAACGUCCGUCGUGAAGAGGGAAACAACCCAGACCGCCAGCUAAGGUCCCAAAGUCAUGGUUAAGUGGGAAACGAUGUGGGAAGGCCCAGACAGCCAGGAUGUUGGCUUAGAAGCAGCCAUCAUUUAAAGAAAGCGUAAUAGCUCACUGGUCGAGUCGGCCUGCGCGGAAGAUGUAACGGGGCUAAACCAUGCACCGAAGCUGCGGCAGCGACACUAUGUGUUGUUGGGUAGGGGAGCGUUCUGUAAGCCUGCGAAGGUGUGCUGUGAGGCAUGCUGGAGGUAUCAGAAGUGCGAAUGCUGACAUAAGUAACGAUAAAGCGGGUGAAAAGCCCGCUCGCCGGAAGACCAAGGGUUCCUGUCCAACGUUAAUCGGGGCAGGGUGAGUCGACCCCUAAGGCGAGGCCGAAAGGCGUAGUCGAUGGGAAACAGGUUAAUAUUCCUGUACUUGGUGUUACUGCGAAGGGGGGACGGAGAAGGCUAUGUUGGCCGGGCGACGGUUGUCCCGGUUUAAGCGUGUAGGCUGGUUUUCCAGGCAAAUCCGGAAAAUCAAGGCUGAGGCGUGAUGACGAGGCACUACGGUGCUGAAGCAACAAAUGCCCUGCUUCCAGGAAAAGCCUCUAAGCAUCAGGUAACAUUAAAUCGUACCCCAAACCGACACAGGUGGUCAGGUAGAGAAUACCAAGGCGCUUGAGAGAACUCGGGUGAAGGAACUAGGCAAAAUGGUGCCGUAACUUCGGGAGAAGGCACGCUGAUAUGUAGGUGAAGUCCCUCGCGGAUGGAGCUGAAAUCAGUCGAAGAUACCAGCUGGCUGCAACUGUUUAUUAAAAACACAGCACUGUGCAAACACGAAAGUGGACGUAUACGGUGUGACGCCUGCCCGGUGCCGGAAGGUUAAUUGAUGGGGUUAGCGGUAACGCGAAGCUCUUGAUCGAAGCCCCGGUAAACGGCGGCCGUAACUAUAACGGUCCUAAGGUAGCGAAAUUCCUUGUCGGGUAAGUUCCGACCUGCACGAAUGGCGUAAUGAUGGCCAGGCUGUCUCCACCCGAGACUCAGUGAAAUUGAACUCGCUGUGAAGAUGCAGUGUACCCGCGGCAAGACGGAAAGACCCCGUGAACCUUUACUAUAGCUUGACACUGAACAUUGAGCCUUGAUGUGUAGGAUAGGUGGGAGGCUUUGAAGUGUGGACGCCAGUCUGCAUGGAGCCGACCUUGAAAUACCACCCUUUAAUGUUUGAUGUUCUAACGUGGACCCGUAAUCCGGGUUGCGGACAGUGUCUGGUGGGUAGUUUGACUGGGGCGGUCUCCUCCUAAAGAGUAACGGAGGAGCACGAAGGUUGGCUAAUCCUGGUCGGACAUCAGGAGGUUAGUGCAAUGGCAUAAGCCAGCUUGACUGCGAGCGUGACGGCGCGAGCAGGUGCGAAAGCAGGUCAUAGUGAUCCGGUGGUUCUGAAUGGAAGGGCCAUCGCUCAACGGAUAAAAGGUACUCCGGGGAUAACAGGCUGAUACCGCCCAAGAGUUCAUAUCGACGGCGGUGUUUGGCACCUCGAUGUCGGCUCAUCACAUCCUGGGGCUGAAGUAGGUCCCAAGGGUAUGGCUGUUCGCCAUUUAAAGUGGUACGCGAGCUGGGUUUAGAACGUCGUGAGACAGUUCGGUCCCUAUCUGCCGUGGGCGCUGGAGAACUGAGGGGGGCUGCUCCUAGUACGAGAGGACCGGAGUGGACGCAUCACUGGUGUUCGGGUUGUCAUGCCAAUGGCACUGCCCGGUAGCUAAAUGCGGAAGAGAUAAGUGCUGAAAGCAUCUAAGCACGAAACUUGCCCCGAGAUGAGUUCUCCCUGACCCUUUAAGGGUCCUGAAGGAACGUUGAAGACGACGACGUUGAUAGGCCGGGUGUGUAAGCGCAGCGAUGCGUUGAGCUAACCGGUACUAAUGAACCGUGAGGCUUAACCUU
rnacentral:rRNA from 1 species